CCAGUGCUUCAGGGCCCCUGCUGGUAAGAGGUCACUGUGGAGGAGAGGUAGGUAGGAGCUCCCACAGGAAAGCCAUCCUUUCAGGCAGUACCUCAGUCUGUACCUUUGCCUUUGGCUUUUUUACUUUGCGGAGAAUGUGUGCAGCCUCAGAGGGCUGGAGCCACCUGCCAAUUAGGUUUGAUGGUCUUCAUCUGUCCUUGUGAGUAAUCUCCUAGUACUACGAGGGUCAUCAAUUAAGGCUCGACCUUUCCCAGUUGCAGGUGCCAUCCAGCCUGCCUUUGGCCAAGGAGGAGCAUUGAGGUUGAGCUGGGGAGGUAGGGAGGAGGUGCUGGGGUCUCCCUUACUUUCAGAAACACCCAUAACUUUUUUUCUCACUCCCCCAGGUACGGCACACGGUGAUGGCAGCAGCCUCCGACUGGGGUCGGAGCCAGUGGCCCGAGAACCUCUCAGCUCAGGGGAGGCCGACCGAGUCAGGGAUCACAGGACCCUCUGAGCCAGCCGUGCGUCCUUCCUUCACAUCGAAGAUGGAUUCACAUCCCCAGCUGUGGGAAAGAUAAGUGGAGGACUUCCACCUGGAGAGGGGAUGAGAGCUGGGUCCAGUUUUAUGGUUAGGAGGGAGGGAUUUUCAAUUGAGCAGAGGGGAAAGGAUCUGCCCUAAGAGGCCCUUGGCACACAUAGGAGGAGCAGUUUACUUUUCAUCAUGGAGUAGGAUGUGCAGGGCAGAGCCGUUCAGGUCUGUGUCAUGUCCUUUGUCCGGUCUGUGUUUCGUGUCUUACACUUUACAGUCACUGUGUCUUUGCUUCCUGCCCUCAAAGGUCUUAUCUGAGAUGUCAAAGCAUCAUUCCUAGAGUCUUGAACCUCUGCACUGCCCAGCCCAGUGCCCAUACCAUCCGUUCUUUGGCUCACUAGCUUGGACAUGCAUCGGAAUCACAUCUGAGAAGUGUCAGGUUAGGUGUCUUUUACAGCCUCCUUACAGGUUGUAUCGGUGGCUGUGCCGUGCAGUCAUCCCUUGUCAUCCCACCUAGGACUUGUGAGAAUCUAAGAAGAUUCUGAACAUAGCCUUGUCUCCCAUCCAUCUUAGCAAUUUUGUAGGCAGUUCUUGUCCCAGGCCAUUCUGUUAGAGUGUCUUUUCAGGCUCCUCAGAGCCUCCUCCAUUCAGUCUCGCCGUAUCCUCCGUCUUCUCGUGCGGUAGCACAUCCAUUUUGGCGUCGUUCCUUUCUCAGAGUUCUCUCUCCUGGUUGCACCACAGCACUUGUCUGGAAAUGUGUCCUUGGAGUUUGUGUUGGGCCUGGAACUGCUCUGCCCUGCAGUGUAGACUUGGGGCAUCAGAGAGGCUGGAUGUAAAGCAGAGAUGAACAGAGGAGGCUGGAGGAGCACAGUCAGAAGAUGCAGAGCCCUCAGCCCAGCAGAGGACAGGCACCAGAGGGAAGGUGAGCCCGGUGAGCAAGGCAGUGCACAGACUUCUAACGUGCAGUCCAACGUGACAGGGACCCUGCCUGUAAGAGGAGAUGUAGGCAGCCUCAGAUGGCCGAAGCCAACUCACAGUGAGGUGCCAUCCAGCUAACCUUUGGGAGCCGAUGAGCAUUGGAGGAGAUGACAGCACAUUGUCCAAGUCUAGUCAGAGUCAGUGACACGAGGACCUGCCUCGGUGACAGUGAGUAGAGGCAU